GGAGAGCCUCUUGGUGCUAGCUAUGCACAGAGAUAUAAGGGAAGCCCGCCCAGUUGUUUUGUGGAUACAGGGACCCAAUGCUCUGUGCUCCUAUGCUCCAGUGGGCCAAUAUCCAAAGACCUUGAGUACACAGAGCUACUGGCAACGAACAAUACUUAUGGACUGCCCAAAGAACAGUGGACCUUAGCGUGGGCCGGGUAACCCACCCACUACUUCAUGGUCAUCCCUGACUGCCCCUAUCCCUUGCUCAUGAGAAAAUUGCUCUCCAAAUUGGCUUGCGUGG
rnacentral:lncRNA from 1 species